rnacentral:snRNA from 1 species
CCAAAAGUGGAAUAAUACAGAGAAGAUUAGCAUGGCUCCUAUGCAAAAAUGACACACAAAUUCAUGAAACAUUUCAUAUUUUU